AACCAAACCUGUUUUUAUGGUGGGUUAACUGUGGUUGGACCUGUGAAGGGCCUUGGACACUAAAUAAGGAUGAGAACCCAGGAAUGAGCACUGGUUAUCAAUAAAGACUACAUUCUUUUCAACAUGUGAAUGACCAAUGGAUGCAAAUGGAAGCGACGUAUAACUUCCAGGAAAUACCCUUAAAGAGAAAGAACAUGCCUUGUUUCAUCCCUUUCACUCUCCUGCUGACUAGAAGAGUCACCACCCAGAACAAGACCCUCACCAGAUGUGUUCCCCGGACUUCAGAUUUCCCAGCCUCCAAAACUGUAAGC